rnacentral:rRNA from 1 species
UGCGUAGGCGGGCUAAUAAGUCAGUGGUGAAAUCUCUCGGCUCAACCGGGAAACUGCCAUUGAUACUGUUAGUCUUGAGUUCGGUUGAGGUAGGCGGAAUGUGUAAUGUAGCGGUGAAAUGCUUAGAUAUUACACAGAACACCAAUUGCGUAGGCAGCUUACUAGACCGACACUGACGCUGAGGCACGAAAGCGGGGGGAGCGAACAGGAUUAGAUACCCUGGUAGUCC